GCAGGUAUGGCGGAAUAGGCAGACGCGCUAGCUUCAGGUGCUAGUGGGGGCAACCUCGUGGAAGUUCAAGUCUUCUUACCUGCAUCA
rnacentral:tRNA from 1 species